GCGGGCGUGGCGGAACGGUAGACGCAGCGGACUUAAAAUCCGUAGCCGGAAACGGCGUGGGGGUUCGACUCCCCCGGCCCGCACCA
rnacentral:tRNA from 1 species